GGUUAAUUACAUUUACCUCCCCUAAGGUUUAGCCAAACUACCAGUCAAACCUUGAGGUUUAAUCAAAUAACAGUCUAAUCCCUUGACUAAGCAAACGUUUAUCAAAGACCCCCUUGCUAUCCUAAGAUGUUAGUUAAGGUAUGAUGUCAGCAACAAAACUAUUAUGAGAGGCCAAAAAUGCCCUUAUAGACCUAUGUGUCAUCACUAAUUCCUUUGACUUUUUCCUGAAGUAAUAAUAACAUUCUUUUCUUUUCUUUAUUUCCUCAAAUAUACUAAAAGAAAUUGACUACCCAAGAACCACAAAAGAAAAAGAAAAGAGUUGCAAAUUUUUAUGAAAAGUCAAUUUCACUAAUUGUUACCUCAUAGAAGAAAGAUUUGAAAUAACAUGACAAUAAUAAAAUAUAAGGAAAAAAAAGAGCUGUGCAAUAACAAACAGAGGAGAAAUUAAAUAAAAAUUAUGAAAAAAAGAAAAAGAGAGUAUACCAAAAUCAAGAAAAAAUGAAAGUUCUUUCGAGUUGAGAGCUUCACCUUGUAGUGGGUUUAGAUUUAAAUAGCCUUUUAAUUUAAUGGCUAGAAUUGAAGCUAGGAUUGUCAAUUGGGAUAACAUAUAAUUUACCAGCAACCUUCGCUCGAAAGACUUCUUCACAACCAAUAAGUGUGUACAAGGUUCAAUUGGGAUAAUACCAUGUGUUAGCUUUCAAGCACAAAAAGGCACAUAAUUGCAUGGACGAUUUGUCACUUUUCUACUCCAAUGGGUACAAUCAAUAGUUGCUAUAUGCCCCGUGCCAAACCUUAAGGGAGGUAAUUGUAAUUAACCCUUAGUUUAUGUAAAUAAUGUGUUUCCGCAUGAACCAUACUUCUACAGUUUGGGAAGAGGUACAAUUUUUGGUCAGACACUAAUAUGAUCUAAUAUGCAAACCCUAUUUCUUUUUUUUUUUUUCGCUUAAAUGUUCAUGAAUACUAUUUGAAGCGUACAAAUCAAAAAAUUAACGUUACAAGCCUUUUCUGAAAGAAACAAAAAGUAAUCCCAACUUAGAAAGACUCGAAGGUAACGCAUCGUAACCAAGAACGGUGAAGUUUAAUGUAAGAUUGUGGAAUUGGUAGAAAGAGGACAGACUUGUCAUUUACAUGGUCAUGGCAACCGUCCUUAACCCCACGUUUGUUUUGUACGCAAAAAUCGUCUAGAAUGGGAAGACUUUUUUUUUUUUUUUUUUUUUAAUCUUGUCCAUUUCAUUUUCGUGUUUGGUAUCAAUCCUUUCGAUUAAAAUGGGCUUACCCCUUAGAAAACUCAUUCUACAUUUUCCUAAAAUAGCAUUCCUCAUAAAAUUCUAAUAAAAAUUUUCUUUUUUACUUUAUUCCGGAAUGUCCAGAAUUAUUGGGGUUAAAUUUAUCCUUCUACAUCUCUGUACUCCGUUACCAAAUAUUAGACCAUAAUUAUUUUAAAGAAUGAAUCUUGUUGUUUAAAAUAUUUUUCUUUGUUAAGUUUAAGAUAUUAUUUUUCUAAAUUUUUGUACAAAAUGUAUAUGGAUUUCUUUUUUGCACUUGAUAGACAAUGAAAACAUAAAAAAAAAAAGAGAGAACAUGAACGCAUGAUUUCAUGUAAUUUAAUUUUUUUAUAAAUUGGUAAUUAUACUACUAGUGAAAAGAAAAACUAGAAUAAAGUUUCAUAUUUCAUAAUUAAUAGAUAUUAUCAUCAAGUAUUUCAUUAAGUACAUAAUUUAUUCUUAAAAUAAAGAAAAAAAUUCAAAAUUCCUUGUAUAAAGUAAGCAAAUAGCAUAGCACAAACGAAUACACUAAAAUUAAAAACACAUACUGUCCUAUGUUAUAUUUCAAGAUAAUUAACUCAAAUUUGCAUAGAAUUUAUUCCAACAUGACAUCUAAAAAUUCAUUAUACCAAACAUUAAAAAUGGAAUGCACGUUCUAUUCUCACACAUCGAAACAAAUUUUGGGUAGAAAGAACUUCACAUUUUGAGCAUUCCAGUGUGCUAAACUAAACGCGGGCCUACAUAGUUUGUCAGUAAUAAGGAGUAACAUAUAUUAGUUGACGAAUUGGUCCAAGCUAAGUUGUGGACCAAAGCCCAAAAUAGAGCACAAUCCAUCCCUGAACAUUUGGCUUCUUAAUGAAGAUGAUGCAAUCAUCGAAAGGUACCCAUCCUGUCACCCAAACCACUCUUUUCCAAUUGCCUCCACCAUUUUCAUUUUUCCCAAAUGAUUUCAUAUCUUUCUCCCUUCUCUUUUUUCCCUUUUGCUUGGUCUUUAAUUUUUUUUUGGGGGGUCGAGAGGGUGGUUGUAGGAGUUGGAGGAGAAGAGACCAAAUAGUAGUAUUCCUGAGAGAUGAAAUCCAUUCUGGAAUUGCCGAAUGGGAAGCAAAAACAUCCGCUCAAUGACUGGGUAUCCUUGAUUCCAGAAAUUGCUACGAGAAAAGUGGCAUCGAGGAUCCCGUGUACAUGUUAACACACUUUUUUUUCUCACCCUUCUUUUUUUUUUUUUUUUUUAGGAAGCACCUGUUCCCAAGACUUACAUAUAUCCUUAAUCAUUUAACCAUUGAACAACUCUUGAAUUCUCACUAUAAAAUUAAUUUCUGUCUGCUUGAUUCACUUUUUUCUGCUUUCUAUCCAAUGGAAGCCUGCAAGUGGAGUUUUCAUUUUGAAGCUUGUCAAAUUCUAAUAAGAAAAAAGAGGUCAAUUGCAACAAACAUAUAGGUCCUCCGAGGGUGAAAAAAAAAAAAAAAGGCAUGAUGACAUAUAGCAUGUUGAAAAGUAAAGAAAAAUCUAAUAGCACCAAGAUACUUUCAGACCCUGAAAACAAGAUGAACAAAGCAUUGGAUGUCCCAGAAGUCUGACCGUACAUUACUGGGCCAGUUACAGCCCAGAUAGACAAACUGAGAAAAAUACUCAGACCUUUGCCUACAAAAUUAAGUAAAAGAUUUUUGUUUUUUUUUUUUCCCUUCUGGCACAAGUGUAAUUUAAUCAAAUUUCACGUGGUAAAAACUCUUACAAUCUUGAAAUGAAUAGGGUUUCAGGAUUCAGUUGUCUCAGAAAAAGAAUUUAUCAUGUCGCAGUGUAAAAGACUCCAGUACAGAUUCCCAUCGUAUGCAUGCAAGCCAGGAUCCAGUACAAAGUCUCAACCUCAUUACUUGAGUAAACACAAACAAAACAUACAGAGAAAAAAUGGAAAGAGAAAAGAAAAUGGGCCUAGAAAAGAAAAGUCUUCUUCGAGUGAAGCAAAUAAAUUAUUUGUAUUUGCUCUCAUUGAAGCUACGCGGCUCAUUUUCUGACUUCCUAGAAGUAUACACACUAAGUCAAGAGAAGAUAUCAGGUCCUGACUUUCAAACUCUUUUCUUUUUCUCUUCCUCCUACAAGGUAUGAAAUCUUCCAUUGAACUAAAAAAACAAAAGUAUACACUAAUUCAAGGGAUAAUUUCAUAAACUUCUCCUGAGGUUUUUGACAAUUAUACUGGUCUCCCUCUGAAGUUUGUAAAAUUACACAAACCUUCCAUGAGAUUAAGGUUUUGAUAACAAAGGUAGUCAAUUAGAAAAAGUAACAUUGAAAAAGUACUUUACAGAGGGAGAUGAAACUUUUAUUUCAUAAAUACCUCUGAUGCAUGUACAUAAGUUGUCUUAGUAAAAGAAUAAAAAUAAUUAAAAGUUAGAAUCUAAAUUAUUGGUACGCAAACUCCUUGGAAUCUUUCCUGGAUCAACACUUGAAGUCGGGGCAACUUGAUCAACCACAUCAAUUGUAGAGUAAGAGCUGCAUUGGCAUUAGGCUCCGGUUAUUUAAUCGGGUAAAAUUUCGGGGAAAUCUUUUAUUGUGCAUUUGGGUCAUAAGUGGUUCUUACACUUUUAUCUCUGCACAUAAAACAAAAGGUCGCAAAGUGAUUUGUGAUACGAGCUGUGAUCAAACCACAUAUGGAAAUGUACAGAGAUCACUGACCAAUCCUUUUCUCAGGGUGUACGCAUGUGAUGUGGAUGGAACAGUUAUGCUCAGACUUGUACAGAUAACAUGAACAAUUUAAUGGGGCUGUUAAAUGACCUGCCCGGAAUGAGAAAGAGCCGAAAAAUAGCUAUAUUUGGGGUAAGAAAUUAAGUUCCUCCAACCUCAUAUAGGCUGUGCCAUUAAUUAUCCCAAUAUAUGCAGAGAGUACCAAAAUUAUUAAGUUGACAUCGAUGAUUAGAUGCUUCAAUCACAGGAGAUAUUUGCAUUGUUUAGGCGAUUUUUUUGUUAAGCGUCGCGAUUAUCUUUGAUCAGGUCAUUUUGGGGUACGGUGGGUAGAAGCACUAGCAAGUUGCGAGUCAAUUCUAAUUCUAACUUAAAAUUGUGACUCAUUAAUCAAUUCAUUUUUAUUUCUUAACUUCUCAUGUCCUAGCUUGAAUGACCAGUCUAUCUUAGUUCCCUUUAGUGGAUUACAUAAUAAUGAAGAAUAAAUCUUUGAAAAUUAAUAAAGUGACUUAAUUUUUAAUUGACCAAUCAUGGCUGCACUAAUGAAUUAUUUGAUUUGGACACCUAUUAAUAAUAUAAUCUAAAAAUAGAAAAGACCAAUUUUUUUUUAAUACUAUUUGACAAUUUUGAAAGUCAACUAUGAUCAAUUUGUUGAAAAUUACACAGAUAGUGGAGAUCGUAAACUAAAAGAAAAAUGUAAGUUGCACAACAUUUUAGGAUUAUAUGAAACCAAU
rnacentral:lncRNA from 1 species